rfam:Otolemur garnettii contig179062, whole genome shotgun sequence.
GCUAGGCACAGUGGUGUCUGCCUGGAGUCCCAGCUGCAUGGGAAGCUGAGGCAGGAGGACCUUAAGAGCCCAGGAGUUCUGCAAUGCAGGGCCCUAUACCAGUCAGAUGUCAGCACUAAGUCCAGCAUUGGUAUGAUAUCCUUCUGGAGAGAGGAAGGGACCACUUAAGUUGCUUAUAGAGGGGUGAACUGACCAGGUAGGAAAGGGAGCAGGUGAAAAGUACCAUGCUGAUCAGUGGUGAGAUCAGACCUGUGAAUAGCCACUGUACUCCAGCCUGGCAACACAGCAACAUCCUAUCUCUU